rnacentral:pre_miRNA from 1 species
CCAACGUGAUUACUUUUUAUCUAUAAUAUUUGACUCUUCGUCUUAUUUAAAUUUUCUUAUGAUUAAUAUUUUUAUUUUUAUUAAAUAAUAAAUCAUGAAUAGUAUUUUACGUGUGACUAUUUUUUAAAACUUCUUAAAAAUUUUUUAAUAAAAUGAAUGGUCAAACGUUGGACACAGAUGAUCA